rnacentral:rRNA from 1 species
GACGAACGCUGGCGGCGUGCCUAAUACAUGCAAGUAGAACGCUGAAGGAGGAGCUUGCUUCUCUGGAUGAGUUGCGAACGGGUGAGUAACGCGUAGGUAACCUGCCUGGUAGCGGGGGAUAACUAUUGGAAACGAUAGCUAAUACCGCAUAAGAGUAGAUGUCGCAUGACAUUUGCUUAAAAGGUGCAAUUGCAUCACUACCAGAUGGACCUGCGUUGUAUUAGCUAGUUGGUGGGGUAACGGCUCACCAAGGCAACGAUACAUAGCCGACCUGAGAGGGUGAUCGGCCAAACUGGGACUGAGACACGGCCCAGACUCCUACGGGAGGCAGCAGUAGGGAAUCUUCGGCAAUGGACGGAAGUCUGACCGAGCAACGCCGCGUGAGUGAAGAAGGUUUUCGGAUCGUAAAGCUCUGUUGUAAGAGAAGAACGAGUGUGAGAGUGGAAAGUUCACACUGUGACGGUAUCUUACCAGAAAGAGACGGCUAACUACGUG